AUGUACCACGCGGACACUGCGGUUCUGAGCGCGCCGUCCGCGCCCACCUGACC
rnacentral:sRNA from 1 species